GACGAAUGCUGGCUGCGUGCUUAACACAUGCAAGUCGAACGGUGAAGGAGGGCUUGCCCUCCGGAUCAGUGGCGAACGGGUGAGUAACACGUGGGCAACCUGCCCCUCCCUCUGGGAUAACGCCGGGAAACCGGCGCUAAUACCGGAUACGACCAGGCGCGACAUCUCGCCUGGUGGAAAGAAUUUCGGUGAGGGAUGGGCCCGCGGCCUAUCAGCUAGUUGGUGGGGUAACGGCCCACCAAGGCGACGACGGGUACCCGGCCUGAGAGGGCGACGGGCCACACUGGGAAUGAGACACGGCCCAGGCUCCUACGGGAGGCAGCAGUGGGGAAUAUUGCGCAAUGGGCGAAAGCCUGCCGCAGCGACGCAGCGUGGGGGACGAAGGCCUUCGGGUUGUAAACCUCUUUCAGCGGGGACGAAGCGAAAGUGACGGUACCCGCAGAAGAAGCACCGGCUAACUACGUGCCAGCCGCCGCCGUAACAC
rnacentral:rRNA from 1 species